GUGGGGAAUAUUGGACAAUGGGCGAAAGCCUGAUCCAACCAUGCCGCGUGUGUGAAGAAGGUCUUCGGAUUGUAAAGCACUUUAAGUUGGGAGGAAGGGCAGUAAGUUAAUACCUUGCUGUUUUGACGUUACCGACAGAAUAAGCACCGGCUAACUUCGUGCCAGCAGCCGCGGUAAUACGAAGGGUGCAAGCGUUAAUCGGAAUUACUGGGCGUAAAGCGCGCGUAGGUGGUUUUGUAAGUUGGAGGUGAAAUCCCCGGGCUCAACCUGGGAACUGCCUCCAAAACUGCAUGACUAGAGUACGGUAGAGGGUAGUGGAAUUUCCUGUGUAGCGGUGAAAUGCGUAGAUAUAGGAAGGAACACCAGUGGCGAAGGCGACUACCUGGACUGAUACUGACACUGAGGUGCGAAAGCGUGGGGAGCAAACAGGAUUAGAAACCCGAGUAGUCC
rnacentral:rRNA from 1 species